UACGUAGGGGGCAAGCGUUGUCCGGAAUCAUUGGGCGUAAAGAGCGUGUAGGCGGUUCGGUAAGUCGGCUGUGAAAGUCCAGGGCUCAACCCUGGGAUGCCGAUCGAUACUGCCGGACUAGAGUUCGGAAGAGGCGAGUGGAAUUCCCGGUGUAGCGGUGAAAUGCGCAGAUAUCGGGAGGAACACCAGUGGCGAAGGCGACUUCCUGGCCUGUUCUUGACGCUGAGGCGCGAAAGCCAGGGUAGCAAACGGG
rnacentral:rRNA from 1 species